CACCGCGGCUAUACGAGAGGCCCGAGUUGUUACCCUCCGGCGUAAAGAGUGGUUAUGGGAAAUAACAAUUAAAGCCGUACAUCUUCAAAGCUGUUAUACGCACCCGAAGGCCAGAAGCCCACACACGAAAGUAGCUUUAUAACUCCUGACCCCACGAAAGCUCUGGCA
rnacentral:rRNA from 1 species